rnacentral:rRNA from 1 species
CUACGGGAGGCUCCAGUGAGGAAUAUUGCACAAUGGGGGGAACCCUGAUGCAGCAACGCCGCGUGGAGGAUGACGCAUUUCGGUGUGUAAACUCCUUUUAUAUGUCAAGAAAAUGACGGUAGCAUAUGAAUAAGCACCGGCUAACUCCGUGCCAGCAGCCGCGGUAAUACGGAGGGUGCAAGCGUUACUCGGAAUCACUGGGCGUAAAGGACGCGUAGGCGGGCUUGUAAGUCAGGUGUGAAAUCCUACAGCUUAACUGUAGAACUGCACUUGAAACUACGAGCCUAGAGUAUGGGAGGGGGAGAUGGAAUUAGUGGUGUAGGGGUAAAAUCCGUAGAUAUCACUAGGAAUACCUAAAGCGAAGGCGAUCUCCUGGAACAUAACUGACGCUAAGGCGUGAAAGCGUGGGGAGCAAACAGGAUUAGAUACCCCCGUAGUC